rnacentral:ncRNA from 1 species
CGGGCCGGGCCCCUCUGGCGAUCGUGCGCUGCUAUCAGUCACGAUCGUGAUGUCGGACCGU